rnacentral:rRNA from 1 species
GUUGAACGCUGGCGGCAUGCUUAAUACGUGCAAGUCGAGCGAACAGAUAAGGAUCUUGCUCCUUUGACGUUAGCGACGGGCGGGUGAGUAAUCCGUACGUGCCCAGUAUCUAGGAAUGGCUUAACUCCAGGAUACCUAGUAUCAUGCCGGCUAUACUUUAGAAACGAAUGGUUCUAAAGUCCUAGAAGGUUUUGCUCUCACUAAUAGAUGGACCCGCGCCGUAUUAGCUAGUUGGUAAGGUAACGGCUUACCAAGGCAACGAUACGUAGCCGACCUGAGAGGGUGAUCAGCCACACUGGAACUGAGACACGGUCCAGACUCCUACGGGAGGCAGCAGUAGGGAAUCUUCCGCAAUGGGCGAAAGCCUGACGGAGCAACGCCGCGUGAGUGAUGAAGGUCUUCGGAUCGUAAAACUCUGUUAGUAGGGAAGAACAAAUGUGUAAGUAACUGUGCACGUCUUGACGGUACCUAAUCAGAAAGCCACGGCUAACUACGUG